GAUGCGGGUGUGGCAUGUGGGAGAAGCUUUGUGGAGAGUCUGCGGGGGAGGGGAGUAUAUGAUAGGUCACUCGUCUUCAUAUAUCCAUUUCUAAUAGGCCAUAGCUCUUGGCCCACGCUGUAUGGGUUUUCAAAAUUACCGGGCGUGGCUCGAACUCUUCUUUCAAAAAUGACUUGCCAUGGCAGCCUAGAUGCAGCGCCUCAAAGAAGCAGCAGUUGUUAGCAAUGGCACGUCUGAUCCGGCAAUGCCGUUUCUACGUAACCAUUGCUUCUGUCACGCUGUGUUCAACUACCUCCUCUCUGAAUCUUUAAUUUUAUCCAUCAAAGCCAUCUCUGCUCGUCUCUCUCUGACUGUAGUUACAGCUUCUAAUCGUAACGUGCAUUUUCGAUCACGCCGUUCAGAAAAAACUUCUGGUUUUGGACAAGAAGGAAAUGCAAGUGAUUCGGAUUCUGAAUCAUACAAAAGCCGCAAACAGAAAAAACGAGAGGCUCGACUUGCCAUUCGUUGGGGCAUGGAACUGGCUUCCUUUUCUCCACCCCAAAUCAAACGCAUUAUCAAGUGAUGAACGCAAAUUAACUUCCCUUCUUAUUUUUUCCCCUAAAAUCACGAACUUUAAAGCUAUUCUUUGCAGUUUAAAUUGUGUCUUGCUUGGGAUUUUCUAGGGUGGCUUCACUUGAGAAAUACGUAUUCGAUGCGUUAAUGUUAGUGAAGCAGAGACCAGGACCGGAUGUGCGGCAAGGAAAGCGGAGGCAAUAUAAUUGCGUAUUUAAUGAGAAAGAUGUUCGUUUCAUGGUGUGGCUUUUAUUUCUCUCAAUCAAGUAAACUGUGUGUCAUGCAAGAACAUCAUAGAAGAUGGUGAUUGGAGUAGGCUGCAGGGAUUUUCUGGUUUGGAGGAAAAGAUUAUUGGCGAUGACAAUGAAGAAUCUGGAGAAAGCGAAUACGAUGUGGAAGAGGAGGCAUGGUAAGCAAUUACUGCCUGCGGUUGUUUUGAAUAGCAAUACAGUUGGGUUUAUGAACGCACAUGUCAAAUUCUUCAGUCUUCUUCUGGUCUAACUCCAACUGUGAAAUCUGUUAAUUGAAGACACUGAUCUUAUUUUAACUUUCUUCACUACCAAUUCGGUAUUGAACGCAAACCUAUCAUUACAGCUCUUUUCUUGGUCUACAACUUAUGGAUGCAAUUCUCACUUCCGUAGUCUUGAUUAUGUCUUGUUGCAUUUUACUUCCACAAGCUGAAGCUUGCAUAAGUGUGGUAAGUGGAAAUAAUGAAUUAGAACUCCAAGGAAGCUGGAGUAUUUUCAGGGGUCACACGAGUACAUUGGUAUAGCAGCCAGUUGGUUCGAUGGCCUGAUUAACAGAGACAUAAAAGUUAUCAAUGAAGUUUAUGCACUUCGAAGCAUUGAUUUUGACAGUCAGUUCAGUGAAAUGUCACCCUGAGUGUAUCAGUUACUGCAUAUCAGCUUCGUUCACGAGACAUCUCUAACAAUGGGCUAACGAUUCCUACUGUGAGUUUGUUGAUGAAAAAAUGUUGUUUGGAAAGAAAAAAGGGGGUGAAAAUUCAUAUAAAGUCACCACAUGAACCAUCAAUCACUUGGCUUUCUUCUUCUUUUUUUCCCAACUGAAGAAAUAAAAAAACUAUCAACAGGAGACUUUAUCGCUUCCAGACGAUUACUUAGCUCUUGCGAACCCAGCAUAUUAAAUCCUGCACAUUCUACGCAUGUUUGUAUAUCAUUAUAUAGUCCAAGAAGCAGAGACCAUGGUCUGUCUGUAUAAUUUGUUGCAAGGAUGCCUUCAAGGGUAAUGUUGAAUUGUUCAUCAUCUAUCUUUCCUAUGAUGGAAUGAUCUAUCAAGCAGGAACUGCAUAAACAUGUGCGAAGAAUGCAUGCAGUUCAAGAACACAAGGGAGUUGCAGAAGAAAAUGAGCAGGAAUUGGAAACUGCAAUCACAGCUGCCAAAAAGUCCCUCGCCCGUUUCCUCCAUGGC